CCAGGAUUGCACUCAGCAGAAUGAGCAGUAGCAAUAUGACUGAUUUUCUACCUGUUCAGUAGGGCUGAAGAUUAUUCCCCUACAUUCCAGAAUCUUCUAGAAUUCCUUGUGUGCUUGUUCAUCAGCCACAGCUGAUCUUCAGGAAGCCAGCAAAAGUUCCAUACCGGUAUCAAAGAUGGACCACUGUACUAUUUGGUCAAACUUUGCAGGUCCUCAGGUAACAGAGAUGAAGCUGCUGCCUUGAAAACCACUGCCAGGGGUCCCGCAGCCUGCUGGUAGGAUAGAAAACGCACAAAAAGUCACCAAGAAGAAGUUGCUCUCCCUUCAAUGUCCAUGUCAAUGAGAGGAGACCAGGGGGUGACAUGAUAGCAGUAUUCCACUAUUUGAGAGUCUGCCGCAAAGAAGAGGGAGUCAACCUUAAUUUUACAUAGCUUCUUUUCAAAAAACACCACGCUACUGACCAGAGCAUAUAAAACAUUUGUUAGGCCAAUUCUUGAUUACUGCUCUCCUGUCUGGAACCCAUACCAUAUAUCUGACAUCAACACAGUUGAGCGUGUCCAAAGGUAUUUUACGAGAAGAGUUCUCCACUCCUCCGAAACCUUGAUAUCCUGGGUCUAGAAAACUUGGAACUUCGUCGCCUUUGGCAGGACCUGGGUUUAGCUCAUAAAAUCAUCCGUUGUAAUGUCCUUCCUAUCAAUGACUUUUUUAGUUUCAAUAACAAUAUCACAAGAGCUACCAAGAGAUUCAAACUCAAUGUCAACUGCUCCAGUUUAGAUUGCAGAAAACAUGAUUUCUGUAACAGAAUUGUAUAUGCUUGGAAUGCAUUACCUGACUCUGUGGUUUCUUCUCAUAACCCCAAAGGCUUUACUCAAAAACUGUCCAUGGUUGACCUCACCACUUUCCUAAGAGGACUCUAAGGGGCGUGCAUAAGAGCACAAACAUGCCUACCGUUCCUGUCCUAUUGUUUCUUCCCCUAUGUAUAUAUAUGUUUAUAGUACCUCGUUUCUCCUCAUAUAUACGUUCAUAUAUUAUAUAACCCUUUAUGCAA